UGGGUCGGUCCGGAGUGGCUGGGUUACCAAAGCAACAACAACAGCAACAACAACAACAACAACAAUUCUCAUCAGCAGCAGCAGCAGCAGCAGCAAACCCAGCCACGCUAAUUUGACCGACCU
rnacentral:sRNA from 1 species